rnacentral:tRNA from 5 species
GCCUAUAGCUCAGCUGGUUUAGAGCGCACGCCUGAUAAGCGUGAGGUCGAUGGUUCGAGUCCAUUUAGGCCC